rnacentral:misc_RNA from 1 species
GAAAUGCGAUAAGUAAUGUGAAUUGCAGAAUUCAGUGAAUCAUCGAAUCUUUGAACGCACAUUGCGCCCCUUGGUAUUCCGGGGGGCAUGCCUGUUCGAGCGUCAUUACAACUCUCAAGCUCUGCUUGGUAUUGGGGUUCGCGGUUUCGCGGCCCCUAAAAUCAGUGGCGGUGCCUGUCGGCUCUACGCGUAGUACUACUCCUCGCGAUUGAGUCCGGUAGGUUUACUUGCCAACAACCCCCAAUUUUUACAGGUUGACCUCGGAUCAGGUAGGGAUACCCGCUGAACUUAA